AUGUGAUGUCAUUCCUUUGUCCGAAAGUUCUAAAGCCUCCCGCCCACAGAGAAUAUAGUCCAGGCUCCUCAGUCAGAUGUCAGGAUGGCUAUGUCACCCCUAUGCAUCACCAGCGUAAACUCCUCUACUGAAUAGGGAAAUCUGGAGGCUUCCCAAAAAUGUAACACUGUGAUUAACAGAACCUCUUCUCUGCUCAUCUAUAACAGCAAGGGUUUCUUAGACUUCACUGGAAUCAUUAUCUUUUAGAGAUACACACCAGAAUAUUUAUGAAGUAUGCGUGAAAGGCUGCAGUCAUCUACAGGUCUCUCUAGGGCUGAAGGAUCUCCUUUCACAGGGGCUCCCUCCUAUGAGAGCCUGCAGUGGGAAUUGAAUGAGAUCAUCUUCCUCCAUAAACCACUCAAUAAAUAUUUGUGGGAUGACUGAAUGAAUAUACCAUAUACAUAACUUGUUUUCUGCAAGUGAAAAAAAGUGGAAGGAAGAAAAAGAAUAAAUCUCUGAUAAUGCACUAUGAAGAAAUGAGCACUCCUACCAUCUACAAUCUACUGG